rnacentral:rRNA from 1 species
AUGGCCAGCUUUACUUUUGGCAGAGCCCCUCUCCAAAGUCCUGACCCGAACCAGCAGCUGAGUCCACCCGGCCGCUCCAAACCCUUGCUCCCCAAGUCCCAGCCCCUCCUCCCUGAUCCACUUCUCGGUCCGGCCAACGCCGCCUCCAGCCCCGGCCUCGGCCUCGGCUCCAUCCUCUGUCGGCGACGACGCCCGCCCCCCUCAUUCUCCUCCUCUCUCUCCGACAUGGAGCUGAUCAAACCCACGGCCACCCUGACAAGCAAGAUCCGCGUACAGCACGAUCCCGCUGACGACGAAGAUGCGUCGAGCGGGACUAUCGGCGGCCUCCCUUUCCACCUCACAGAGAAGAUCCUCGGCUGCAUCGGCCCGCUCGAGUCGGUGCGCCUCGCCGUCGUCUGCAAGUCCUGGGCGGCGACCGUCUCCGAGCGGCUAGCGAGACCCACCCCGCACCUGCUCGCGCUCAAGGUCUCCAACGAGCGGUUCCAGCUGCCGCCCGUGGAGGAGCCCCGCCGCGUGGCCAUCUUCCCCUUUCAGGUCGAUGGGGAGGGCUCGCCGUUGGCGGUGGUCCCUCUCCCUGCCCGCCUGCCCUCCAUGGUCUGCGACGUAGAACGUAUCAAGUUAUCCGGCGCGCUGCACAGCGGCCGUCUCUCCCUCGAGGACGGCAACCACGUUGUCCCCGUCAACCCCGUCACCGGCGCCUUCCGGAGCGAGAUGUAUGCGCCCGUUGGGACGACUAAAGCUAAGGCAAGGGUCACCGCCGGCGCCAACGCGGUCUUCGUUAACAACCACUCUGAGAUGAGCGUCUCUCUCUUCUGGUGCACGGAAGAGUGGCCCGAGGAGCAGAAGCUGAUUUCCGAAAAGUUCAAAAGCAUUUAUCUGAUGGCCUACACGGACAGCGUCUUCUACGCGCUGGAAUUCUGGGGUUGCACCUACACCGUGGACACACGUGUGCCACCGCCAUGGCGCCUGAAGAAGCUCCAUGUGCCGAACAUUCUCGAACAGUACACCCCGAUCUGUGGGUACCACUUCCUCUGGUACACCCACCUGCUGGAGUCGGACGGGUCGGUCCUGUUUGUUGGUCCGGUGCUCACUUCACAAGAACCCACAGGCCUCGAUACCAUCAGUGGCUUCGAGGUGUAUAGGCUAGAUGUCGAGGAGGCACGAUGGAUAAAAGUGGAGAGGCUAGCUGCUGAUCGGGCGCUUUUCGUGAGUGAGCAAUCAUCGUUCACGGUGCGCGCCUCGGAGAUUCCGGGGUGCAUGAGCAACUGCAUCUACUUUGUGGGUGAGGUCGACUACUACUCCUGGGUCACCUGGGGCAUCUACUCCAUGGAGGAGCGGAAGGGCCAGCACCAGCUAACGCCGACUCCAGACCCGGCCUCGCCUCCACGGCUCUAUCCUCCCUUGGGACCGACGCCGACGCCUCCCGCAUUCUUCUCCUCUCGCUCCCACAUGGAGCCGAUCAUACCCACGGCCGCCCUGACAAGCAAGAUCCGCGCCCAGCACGAACCCACUGACGGCGGAGAUGCGGCGAGCGGGACUAUCGGCGGCCUCCCUUUCCACCUCACGGAGAAGAUCCUCGGCUGCAUCGGCCCGCUCGAGUCGGUGCGCCUCGCCGCCGUCUGCAAGUCCUGGGCGGCGACCGUCUCCGAGCGACUAGCAAGACCCACCCCGCACCUCUUCGCGCUCACCGAUGACCAUCACUGGUUCCACCUCCACCUGCCGCCCGACAACGAGGAGGAGGAGGAGGAGCACAACUGCGGGGCCAUCUUCUCCUUGCCGGUCGGCGAGGAGGACUCUCCGUCGCCGGUAGCCCCUGCUCGCUUGCCCUCCGUGGUCUGCGACACAAAAGGCAUGAAGUUAUCCGGCGCCCUGCCCUGCGGCCGCCUCUCCUUCGCGGACGACAACCGCGUUGUCCUCGUCAACCCUGUCACCGGUGCAUUCCAGAGCCAGAGCAAGAUGUAUGCGCCCUUCGAGACUAAAGCUAAUCUGAGGACCGCCGCCGGGACCAACGCUAUGUUCGUUAACGACCACUCCGAGAGGAGCGUCUCUCUCUUGUGGUGCACGGAGACAGAUGAGUGGUCCGAGCAGAAGCUGCUUCUUUCCAAUGAGUUCAAAAGCAUUUAUUUGAUGGCCUACACAGAGGGCGUCUUCUACGCUCUGGACUUGUGGGGUUGCUCCUACACCGUGGACACAUGUGUGCUGCCGCCGUGGCGCCUGACAAGACUCCGUGCACCGAGCAUUCUCAAGCAGUACACCCCGAUUAGCGGGUGCCCCGUCCUCUGGUACAGCCACCUGCUGGAGUCAGAAGGAUCGGUCCUGUUUGUCGGUCCGAUACUUGCACCAAAAGAACCCGGACGCCCAAAUACUAUUGGUGGCUUCGAGGUGUACAGGUUGGAUGUUGAGGGGCCACGAUGGGUGAAAGUGGAGAGGCUUGCAGCUGAUCGGGCGCUUUUCGUAAGUGAGCAAUCAUCGUUCACGGUGCGCGCCUCGGAGGUGCCCGGGUGCAUGAGCAACUGCAUCUACUUUGUGGGUGAGGUUGACGGCUACUCCUGCAUUACCUGGGGCGUCUACUCCAUGGAGGAGGGGAAGGUACUGUUUCAACGCCUAGUCGGUGGUUUUCCGAGCAAAUAUGAUGCUGCACGGUGGUUCCUCCCAGUUGUUGUGAACUUGUGA